rnacentral:rRNA from 1 species
UACGAAGGGUGCAAGCGUUACUCGGAAUUACUGGGCGUAAAGCGUGCGUAGGUGGUUCGUUAAGUCUGAUGUGAAAGCCCUGGGCUCAACCUGGGAACGGCAUUGGAUACUGGCGAUCUGGAGUGCGGUAGAGGGUGGCGGAAUUCCCGGUGUAGCAGUGAAAUGCGUAGAUAUCGGGAGGAACAUCCGUGGCGAAGGCGGCCACCUGGACCAGCACUGACACUGAGGAGCGAAAGCGUGGGGAGCAAACAGG